CUUAAAUUGAAGAGUUUGAUCAUGGCUCAGAUUGAACGCUGGCGGCAGGCCUAACACAUGCAAGUCGAGCGGAAACGAGUUAUCUGAACCUUCGGGGGACGAUAACGGCGUCGAGCGGCGGACGGGUGAGUAAUGCCUAGGAAAUUGCCCUGAUGUGGGGGAUAACC
rnacentral:rRNA from 1 species